rnacentral:rRNA from 6 species
CCUCAGGUCAGGCGGGAUCACCCGCUGAAUUUAAGCAU